rnacentral:rRNA from 1 species
CCUACGGGGGGCAGCAGUAGGGAAUCUUCGGCAAUGGACGAAAGUCUGACCGAGCAACGCCGCGUGAGUGAAGAAGGUCUUCGGAUUGUAAAACUCUGUUGUUAGAGAAGAACAAGUAGGAGAGUAACUGCUCUUACCUUGACGGUAUCUAACCAGAAAGCCACGGCUAACUACGUGCCAGCAGCCGCGGUAAUACGUAGGUGGCAAGCGUUGUCCGGAUUUAUUGGGCGUAAAGCGAGCGCAGGCGGUCUUUUAAGUCUGAUGAGAAAGCCCUCGGCUCAACCGAGGAAGGUCAUUAGAAACUGGAGGACUUGAGUGCAGAAGAGGAGAGUGGAAUUCCAUGUGUAGCGGUGAAAUGCGUAGAUAUAUGGAGGAACACCAGUGGCGAAGGUGACUCUCUGGUCUGUAACUGACGCUGAGGCUCGAAAGCGUGGGGAGCAAACAGGAUUAGAUACCCCUGUAGUC